AGCGGAGGGCGCGGUCGAAAGAUCGUGGCCCCGCACACGGCUCAGUAACACGUAGUCAACCUACCCUUGGGACGGGAACAACCUCGGGAAACUGAGGCUAAUUCCCGAUAGGCGAGGGACGCUGGGAUGCUUCCUCGCCCAAAGCUCCGGCGCCCAGGGAUGGGACUGCGGUCUAUCAGGCUGUUGGUGGUGUAACGGACCACCAAACCUACGACGGGUACAGGCGAUGGGAGUCGGAGCCUGGAGAUGGGGACUGAGACAAGGCCCCAGGCCCUACGGGGCGCAGCAGGCGCGAAAACUCCGCAAUGCGCGUAAGCGUGACGGGGGGACCCCAAGUGCCGUUGGUCUUUUGAUCGACGGCUUUUCGGAAGUCUAUGAAGCUUCCAGAAUAAGGGCUGGGUAAGACUGGUGCCAGCCGCCGCGGUAACACCAGCAGCCCAAGUGGUGGCCACGAUUAUUGGGCCUAAAGCGCUCGUAGCCGGGUCAGCAAGUCCCUUGUGAAAUCGGGCCGCCUAACGGUUCGGCGUGCAAGGGAUACUGUUGGUCUUGAGGCCGGGAGAGGUCGGAGGUACUCCUGGGGUAGCGGUGAAAUGCUCUAAUCCUAGGGGGACCACCAGUGGCGAAGGCGUCCGACCAGAACGGACCUGACGGUGAGGGGCGAAGGCUAGGGGAGCGAACGGGAUUAGAUACCCCGGUAGUCCUAGCUGUAAAGCAUGCGGGCCAGGUGCCUAGCGCUCCUCGAGGGCGCUAGGUGCCGGA
rnacentral:rRNA from 1 species